GAUGAACGCUAGCGGCAGGCUUAACACAUGCAAGUCGAGGGGUAGUCUAGCAAUAGAUGAGACCGGCGCACGGGUGCUUAACGCGUAUGCAAUCUACCUUUUACAGAGGGAUAGCCCAGAGAAAUUUGGAUUAAUACCUCAUAGUAUAACGACUCGGCAUCGAGAUGUUAUUAAAGUUCCAACGGUAAAAGAUGAGCAUGCGUCCCAUUAGCUAGUUGGUGUGGUAACGGCACACCAAGGCAACGAUGGGUAGGGGUCCUGAGAGGGAGAUCCCCCACACUGGUACUGAGACACGGACCAGACUCCUACGGGAGGCAGCAGUGAGGAAUAUUGGUCAAUGGGCGCAAGCCUGAACCAGCCAUGCCGCGUGCAGGAUGACGGUCCUAUGGAUUGUAAACUGCUUUUGUACAGGAAGAAACACUCCCUCGUGAGGGAGCUUGACGGUACUGUAAGAAUAAGGAUCGGCUAACUCCGUGCCAGCAGCCGCGGUAAUACGGAGGAUCCAAGCGUUAUCCGGAAUCAUUGGGUUUAAAGGGUCCGUAGGCGGGUUUAUAAGUCAGUGGUGAAAGCCCAUCGCUCAACGAUGGAACGGCCAUUGAUACUGUAGAUCUUGAAUUAUUAGGAAGUAACUAGAAUAUGUAGUGUAGCGGUGAAAUGCUUAGAGAUUACAUGGAAUACCAAUUGCGAAGGCAGGUUACUACUAAUGGAUUGACGCUGAUGGACGAAAGCGUGGGUAGCGAACAGGAUUAGAUACCCUGGUAGUCCACGCCGUAAACGAUGGAUACUAGCUGUUCGGAGCAAUCUGAGUGGCUAAGCGAAAGUGAUAAGUAUCCCACCUGGGGAGUACGUUCGCAAGAAUGAA
rnacentral:rRNA from 1 species